CCCUUAGAUGUUCUGGGCCGCACGCGCGCUACACUGACGAAUGCAACGAGCUUAUAACCUUGGCCGAAAGGUCUGGGUAAUCUCCAAAUUUCGUCGUGAUGGGGAUAGAUUAUUGCAAUUAUUAAUCUUCAACGAGGAAUGCCUAGUAAGCGCAAGUCAUCAGCUUGCGUUGAUUACGUCCCUGCCCUUUGUACACACCGCCCGUCGCUCCUACCGAUUGAAUGGUCCGGUGAAGCGUUCGGACCGUGGCCUUUGGACGGUUCGCCGUCUGUUGGCUGCGGGAAGUUCGUUAAAUCUUAUCAUUUAGAGGAAGGAGAAGUCGUAACA
rnacentral:rRNA from 1 species